UUAGAUGCUGGGUCUGGACCAAGUUGGUUACCAUGCUAUGAGGAAAGGCCCAUGUGGCAAGGAAUUUGGCCUCCUGCCGCAAGCCAAUUAGGAACUGAGGCCUUCUGCAAUAACGAAGAAAACCAAUUCUUCAUUAGGAAUUGAGCUGAAAACAUUUCCUUGUUGCUGAUGUUUAGUUAAGUAAGGUGUUGUAGAGAAAUUUUAUGACCACUCUUAUCCUGACAUCUCCCAAUUAAAAUGCAAUGUGAUAUGUGUCGGGAUUCAGAUCUUCACCAGUAUACAGGGCAAAGGCUGAAAAAAGUAACAGCAGGGUCUAAAGAAAUCCCACCAAGUUCAUGGAGCCUUCACUGAAAGCAUAGCAGAGCUCACUAAAGGCUGAAGAACAGAAGGAGGACAGAGAGAUCUCUGGACUACUAAAAGACUCCAACACUUACUAUUCUCUUGGACCUCUUUGAUGUGAUGGAAGAGGAGUCUCAAAAUCAAAUGUCUUCUGUGGCCAGGAAGAUGAACUAAAUGUACUAAGCAAAAUCAUCUGAGUAAUCAGGCAAUAGAGAGAAUGAAAAAUGCAAAAAUGCAAAGAGCUAUAAAGUGAUACCAUGCCAAAAUGUA